rnacentral:rRNA from 1 species
UGAGGAAUCUUGCGCAAUGGGCGAAAGCCUGACGCAGCGACGCCGCGUGGAGGAUGAAGGUCUUCGGAUCGUAAACUCCUGUCGAGCGGGACGAAAUUCGGGAGGGUGAACAAUCCUUUCGAUUGACGGUACCGCUGGAGGAAGCCCCGGCUAACUCCGUGCCAGCAGCCGCGGUAAUACGGAGGGGGCCAGCGUUGUUCGGAAUCAUUGGGCGUAAAGGGCGCGUAGGCGGCCACGCAAGUCGGAUGUGAAAUCCCUCGGCUCAACCGGGGAACUGCAUCCGAAACUGCGAGGCUCGAGUCCUGGAGAGGGUAGUGGAAUUCCCAGUGUAGCGGUGAAAUGCGUAGAUACUGGGAGGAACACCGGUGGCGAAGGCGGCUACCUGGACAGGUACUGACGCUGAGGCGCGAAAGCCAGGGGAGCAAACAGGAUUAGAUACCCCCGUAGUCC